UCCGAGUUGACCCCGGCAGUCUCCUGUGAGUCCCCAUCACCCCGAAGGACACCGUAUCUCUACGGCUUUUCCCUACAUGUCAAGCCUAGGUAAGGUUCUUCGCGUUGCAUCGAAUUAAGCAACAUGCUCCGCCGCUUGUGCGGGCCCCCGUCAAUUCCUUUGAGUUUUAGCCUUGCGGCCGUACUCCCCAGGCGGGGCACUUAAUGCGUUAGCUACGGCACGGAUCCCGUCGAUAGGGUCCCACACCUAGUGCCCAACGUUUACGGCGUGGACUAC
rnacentral:misc_RNA from 1 species